rnacentral:rRNA from 1 species
GAUGAACGCUGGCGGCGUGCCUAACACAUGCAAGUCGAGCGAACAGACGAGGAGUUUGCUUUUCUGACGUUAGCGGCGGACGUGUGAGUAACACGUGGAUGACCCACCUAUAAGACUGGGAUACCUUCGGGACACCGGCGCUAAUACCGGACAAUAUAUUGAACCGUGUGUUCCAUUAGUGAAAUACGGCUUUCCUGUCACUUAUAGAUGCAUCCGCGCCGCAUUAGCUAGUUGGUAAGGAAACGGCUUACCAAGGCAACUAGGCGUUGCCGACCUGAAAGGGUGGUCGCCCACCCGGGAACGGAACCGCGGACCAGAGGACUGAGGCAGGCAGCAGUCGGGAACCUUACGCAAUAGGCGAAAGCCUGACAGAGCGACGCAGAGUGAGUGAUGAAGAUCUUCGGAUCGUAAAGCUCUGUUAUUAGGGAAAAACAAAUGUGUACGUAAAUAUACACAUCUUGACGGUACCUACUCAGAAAGCCCCGGCUAACUACGUG